AGGAAUAUUGGUCAAUGGACGCAAGUCUGAACCAGCCAUGCCGCGUGCAGGAUGACGGCUCUAUGAGUUGUAAACUGCUUUUGUACGAGGGUAAACGCAGAUACGUGUAUCUGUCUGAAAGUAUCGUACGAAUAAGGAUCGGCUAACUCCGUGCCAGCAGCCGCGGUAAUACGGAGGAUUCAAGCGUUAUCCGGAUUUAUUGGGUUUAAAGGGUGCGUAGGCGGUUUGAUAAGUUAGAGGUGAAAUUUCGGGGCUCAACCCUGAACGUGCCUCUAAUACUGUUGAGCUAGAGAGUAGUUGCGGUAGGCGGAAUGUAUGGUGUAGCGGUGAAAUGCUUAGAGAUCAUACAGAACACCGAUUGCGAAGGCAGCUUACCAAACUAUAUCUGACGUUGAGGCACGAAAGCGUGGGGAGCAAACAGGAUUAGAUACCCUGGUAGUCCACGCAGUAAACGAUGAUAACUCGUUGUCGGCGAUACACAGUCGGUGACUAAGCGAAAGCGAUAAGUUAUCCACCUGGGGAGUACGUUCGCAAGAAUGAAACUCAAAGGAAUUGACGGGGGCCCGCACAAGCGGAGGAACAUGUGGUUUAAUUCGAUGAUACGCGAGGAACCUUACCCGGGCUUGAAAGUUAGCGACGAUUCUUGAAAGAGGAUUUCCCUUCGGGGCGCGAAACUAGGUGCUGCAUGGUUGUCGUCAGCUCGUGCCGUGAGGUGUCGGGUUAAGUCCCAUAACGAGCGCAACCCCUACCGUUAGUUGCCAUCAGGUGAAGCUGGGCACUCUGGCGGGACUGCCGGUGUAAGCCGAGAGGAAGGUGGGGAUGACGUCAAAUCAGCACGGCCCUUACGUCCGGGGCUACACACGUGUUACAAUGGUAGGUACAGAGGGCAGCUACCCAGCGAUGGGAUGCGAAUCUCGAAAGCCUAUCUCAGUUCGGAUUGGAGGCUGAAACCCGCCUCCAUGAAGUUGGAUUCGCUAGUAAUCGCGCAUCAGCCAUGGCGCGGUGAAUACGUUCCCG
rnacentral:rRNA from 1 species